rnacentral:misc_RNA from 1 species
GUUUACAGUAUGAACCUCGAGAGAGGCCAAAUGCAAAGACUCUUGUCGCUGCUCUCACUCCUCUUCAGAAAGAAACUGAGGUUCCAUCUUAUGUUUUGAUGGGUAUUCCACAUGGAGCUUCAUCCCCAAAGGAAACAAUUUCAUUGACACCUCUAGGUGAAGCUUGCUCAAGAAUGGAUCUGACUGCAAUACAUCAGAUACUGGAGAAGGUGGGGUAUAAAGAUGAUGAGGGGAUUGCAAAUGAGCUGUCCUUCCAAAUGUGGACGGAUCAAAUACAGGAAACACUCAAUUGUAAGAAGCGUGGAGAUGCUGCUUUUCGAACCAAGGAUUUUGCUACUGCCAUUUAUUGUUACACACAAUUUAUUGAUGGUGGGACAAUGGUAUCACCAACAGUAUUUGCCAGACGCUGCUUGUGCUACUUGAUAAGUGAAAUGCCACAACAAGCACUUGGAGAUGCAAUGCAAGCUCAAGCAGUAUCUCCUGAGUGGGCUACUGCCUUCUAUCUCCAAGCUGCUGCUCUCUUCAGCCUUGGGAUGGACAGUGACGCACAGGAAACUCUAAAAGAUGGCACAUCCUUGGAAGCCCAAAAACAUAGAAUCUGAAAGUGUAUAGUUCUUUGAAAAAAAAGGGGAUUCUUUAUCCAUUUAAA